CAUGCAUCUAUCGAAGAAAUACCCCAAUUUCUCCACAGUUGGGGGUUUCAAUUUGCAUCGCUUUGAAACAAUUGGGAAUAAGGGUUUUGGCCCCUUAGUGCUUGAACCCUAACUGAAGUGGGUUCAGCUAAGGAUCAAAUUAAGGAGAAUAAUUCAGUUAAUCCAGUCGCUGUGAUCGAUAACUAUGAUAGUUUCACUUACAAUCUUUCCAGGUACCCCUUAGGAUUCAGGAAUAUCAUUAUAGAGUGUGCUCAAACUGGGAUUGGAGUUCCCUCUGUUUGGAGUCUGCAUGAGCCUCCAAUGCAUCUGUCAGGCUUAUGGAGAUAAAUAGUUCUCUGUCCUUUACUUGGAGGAACUUGGUGCUUCAUUUGAGGCGUACCAAAAUGAUGAGCCCACUGUAGCAGAGAUUAGAAGGUUUCACUUUCUUCUUUCCCUUUGUUGUCAUAUUUAUUUGUUUGACCUCAUUGUCAUUGUUUGAUUCUGAAUGAUUUUUAAACAUCUUAACUCACUUUGAUGCGUAUCACUACGGUGACCAGUUAAGGUUGAUGUGCAGCUUUGUACUACGGUGACCAGUUAAGGUUGAUGUGCAGCUUUGUACUUGUAGUGAAUCAGGUACUUGUUUAUUGUGUUUUCAAAUUGUCCAUUUUCACCAAUGCCAGUAUUGGUAAAGUGAGUCCUUGGAGAACUUUCUUCUUGUUGAGGAGGCAAGAAGAAAGUUCUCCUAAAACCUUUGCAAGUCGUGAUAUUGUUUAGAAAAAUAGUGAAAGGAUAUAAAGGUAGGCACACGACUGACUAAAAAAAAAACGAAGAACAUAUAUUACUUUUGAAUUCACAAAAAUUUUGUGAUGCCAUUUAAUAAAGUAGAUAGCAUGAAAGAAAAUAGUAGGAUUGCCUUUUAGUUGAAAUAGACAAGGAUAUAGAACC